rnacentral:rRNA from 1 species
AUCUGAACCUUCGGGGAACGAUAACGGCGUCGAGCGGCGGACGGGUGAGUAAUGCCUAGGAAAUUGCCCUGAUGUGGGGGAUAACCAUUGGAAACGAUGGCUAAUACCGCAUGAUGCCUACGGGCCAAAGAGGGGGACCUUCGGGCCUCUCGCGUCAGGAUAUGCCUAGGUGGGAUUAGCUAGUUGGUGAGGUAAGGGCUCACCAAGGCGACGAUCCCUAGCUGGUCUGAGAGGAUGAUCAGCCACACUGGAACUGAGACACGGUCCAGACUCCUACGGGAGGCAGCAGUGGGGAAUAUUGCACAAUGGGCGCAAGCCUGAUGCAGCCAUGCCGCGUGUAUGAAGAAGGCCUUCGGGUUGUAAAGUACUUUCAGUCGUGAGGAAGGUGGUAGUGUUAAUAGCGGCGUCAUUUGACGUUAGCGACAGAAGAAGCACCGGCUAACUCCGUGCCAGCAGCCGCGGUAAUACGGAGGGUGCGAGCGUUAAUCGGAAUUACUGGGCGUAAAGCGCAUGCAGGUGGUUUGUUAAGUCAGAUGUGAAAGCCCGGGGCUCAACCUCGGAAUAGCAUUUGAAACUGGCAGACUAGAGUACUGUAGAGGGGGGUAGAAUUUCA